GAGUUUGAUCCUGGCUCAGGACGAACGCUGGCGGCGCGCCUAACACAUGCAAGUCGAACGAGCGAGAGAGAGCUUGCUUUCUCGAGCGAGUGGCGAACGGGUGAGUAACGCGUGAGGAACCUGCCUCAAAGAGGGGGACAACAGUUGGAAACGACUGCUAAUACCGCAUAAGCCCACAGCUCGGCAUCGAGCAGAGGGAAAAGGAGCAAUCCGCUUUGAGAUGGCCUCGCGUCCGAUUAGCUGGUUGGUGAGGUAAUGGCCCACCAAGGCGACGAUCGGUAGCCGGACUGAGAGGUUGAACGGCCACAUUGGGACUGAGACACGGCCCAGACUCCUACGGGAGGCAGCAGUGGGGAAUAUUGCACAAUGGGGGAAACCCUGAUGCAGCGACGCCGCGUGGAGGAAGAAGGUCUUCGGAUUGUAAACUCCUGUUGUUGAGGAAGAUAAUGACGGUACUCAACAAGGAAGUGACGGCUAACUACGUGCCAGCAGCCGCGGUAAAACGUAGGCCACAAGCGUUGUCCGGAAUUACUGGGUGUAAAGGGAGCGCAGGCGGGAAGACAAGUUGGAAGUGAAAUCUAUGGGCUCAACCCAUAAACUGCUUUCAAAACUGUUUUUCUUGAGUAGUGCAGAGGUAGGCGGAAUUCCCGGUGUAGCGGUGGAAUGCGUAGAUAUCGGGAGGAACACCAGUGGCGAAGGCGGCCUACUGGGCACCAACUGACGCUGAGGCUCGAAAGUGUGGGUAGCAAACAGGAUUAGAUACCCUGGUAGUCCACACCGUAAACGAUGAUUACUGGGUGUUGGAGGAUUGACCCCUUCAGUGCCGCAGUUAACACAAUAAGUAAUCCACCUGGGGAGUACGACCGCAAGGUUGAAACUCAAAGGAAUUGACGGGGGCCCGCACAAGCAGUGGAGUAUGUGGUUUAAUUCGACGCAACGCGAAGAACCUUACCAAGUCUUGACAUCCCUUGACGAUGCUGGAAACAGUAUUUCUCUUCGGAGCAAGGAGACAGGUGGUGCAUGGUUGUCGUCAGCUCGUGUCGUGAGAUGUUGGGUUAAGUCCCGCAACGAGCGCAACCCUUACUGUCAGUUACUACGCAAGAGGACUCUGGCAGGACUGCCGUUGACAAAACGGAGGAAGGUGGGGAUGACGUCAAAUCAUCAUGCCCUUUGUGACUUGGGCUACACACGUACUACAAUGGCGUUAAACAAAGAGAAGCAAGACCGCGAGGUGGAGCAAAACUCAGAAACAACGUCCCAGUUCGGACUGCAGGCUGCAACUCGCCUGCACGAAGUCGGAAUUGCUAGUAAUCGUGGAUCAGCAUGCCACGGUGAAUACGUUCCCGGGCCUUGUACACACCGCCCGUCAAGGGA
rnacentral:rRNA from 1 species